rnacentral:rRNA from 1 species
CUAUUUGAUAUUUCUAGCGGCGGACGGGUGAGUAACGCGUGAGCAACCUGCCUUUAUCAGGGGGAUAACGCAUCGAAAGAUGUGCUAAUACCGCGUAAGACCACAGCCUCACAUGGGGCAGGGGUCAAAGGAGCAAUCCGGUGGAAGAUGGGCUCGCGUCUGAUUAGCUAGUUGGUGAGGUAACGGCCCACCAAGGCGACGAUCAGUAGCCGACCUGAGAGGGUGAUCGGCCACAUUGGAACUGAGAUACGGCCCAGACUCC